rnacentral:misc_RNA from 1 species
CAAGCAGCAACAAACUGCACCCAUUGUAUCUCUUUCAACCUAUGAUAGUACCUCAAAAACCUUUUCAAGAGUCAUUGACAAUUCCCAAUUGUCUCUAUUUCCUGAUUGUGGAAGCAAAACUUAUGGUGAUCGGAAACUUAAUAGAACUGACAAAAGGCCUUCAGCCAAGCAAAUGAAGAAGCGAGCCAAUUGGGCACCCGCUCUCUUCAGGAAAUCCCGAAUGAGUGAAUGCCCUUUCUGAUCAAGGCCUUAAGAAAGAAAAG